rnacentral:rRNA from 1 species
AUUGAACGCUGGCGGCAUGCCUUACACAUGCAAGUCGAACGGUAACAGGUCUUCGGAUGCUGACGAGUGGCGAACGGGUGAGUAAUACAUCGGAACGUGCCCGAUCGUGGGGGAUAACGAAGCGAAAGCUUUGCUAAUACCGCAUACGAUCUACGGAUGAAAGCAGGGGACCGCAAGGCCUUGCGCGAACGGAGCGGCCGAUGGCAGAUUAGGUAGUUGGUGGGAUAAAAGCUUACCAAGCCGACGAUCUGUAGCUGGUCUGAGAGGACGACCAGCCACACUGGGACUGAGACACGGCCCAGACUCCUACGGGAGGCAGCAGUGGGGAAUAUUGGACAAUGGGCGCAAGCCUGAUCCAGCAAUGCCGCGUGUGUGAAGAAGGCCUGCGGGUUGUAAAGCACUUUUGUUCGGGAAGAAAUCAUGUUGGUUAAUACCUGACAUGGAUGACGGUACCGAAAGAAUAAGCACCGGCUAACUUCGUGCCAGCCGCCGCGGUAAGAC